rnacentral:antisense_RNA from 1 species
AUAAUGCAAGUGUUUAACAGAUGCUUCACUAUUAAAAUAUUUUCCCCCCAAGUCUCAAAUAUUGAAGAAUCUCUAACCAGGCUCGAAACGCCGGUCUCAGUGACUAUUGAGUUACCCACCAAGUUACCCCGGUUAGAGCUGUUUGGGGUGGCUCACGUUAUUGCGGCAAACUUUGGAGAUGACGGCUGAGUCCUCUGGGCGAACAUGUCAAGCCGAUUGUAAAUGCUGUUAUUUCCACAUCCUUCAGGGACACCAGUCCCAACGAAGACCUUGGGCGAUUUCAAAGUGCGGGCACCUCGAUUCCCCGAAUCUGUAGUGUGGCUGGUAUCGGUGUUUCCCUGGUUUAACUAGCCUGCUUGAAGGCGCAGAUCAUUCAUGGGGAAGUAAAACCGAAACCAGUCCUCUCCACCCCCUGCGGGUCUUCACUUUCCCAGUCUACAUCUGCCUGUGACUCCAGAAAGACAAACUGCAGAUUGGCCAAGCUGCCUGAAGAUCCAGCCCGACAGCGAUGCCUGCCAGCCCGCGUCGCCCACCAGGGCAGCUGCUCUCCCGACUCG